rnacentral:rRNA from 1 species
ACUCUUCCGGGCACCGACUCCGGUGCAAGUCCCCCUGACCGGGGCUCCCACCCCGAGAGGGUGCAAGGCCCGUAGCGGCCGGAAGGCGGUCCCGGAUGUCCUCUCCUGGGAGUCGGGUUGCUUGAGAGUGCAGCCCCAAUCGGGUGGUAAACUCCAUCUAAGGCUAAAUACGACCUGGAGACCGAUAGCGAACAAGUACCGUGAGGGAAAGUUGAAAAGGACUUUGAAGAGAGAGUUCAAGAGUACGUGAAACCGUUCGGAGGUAAACGAGUGGGCCCUCGAAGUGCGAAGGCGGGGGGACUCAGCCGAACGCCGUCGAGCCCGCCGGUGCGUCCCGCGCUUCCCGAAAAGGACGCGGCACACCGGUGCGCUGGCUCCGGCGCGCGGCGCAUUUCCUCCCGUCCUCCGACGCUGCGACCGGUCGGGCGCGCCACGAGCAGUCGGCCUUACUCGCGGGAAACGGAAGGUAGCCGGGAAGGCGCACACGCGCCCUCCCCGGUGUUUAUCCGUCCCGUUCUCGAGUCAGCCGUUCGCCCGACCGCAGGACUCGGCCCUCAGGGGCCUCUGCCGUGCCCUCCCCGACUGCGGGGAUCGGAGCUCGCCCCGGAAGGGAUGCCGUCGCUACUUUUCCCUCGCCACACCCUGGGUGUGCUUGGGGCGGCGGCGCCCGCUGGCCGGGGCGAUUUCGAGCGGGCGCAGGCGGUCCGCAGCGAGUAGGUCGGUCACCCACUCGACCCGUCUUGAAACACGGACCAAGGAGUUUAACAUGCGCGCGAGUCACUGGGUCGUGAGCAGGCCCAAGGGCGCAAUGAAAGUGAAGGUCGGCCCUCGCCGUCCGCGUUGGGAUCCGCCGGCCUCCGCGCCGGCGGCGCACCAACGGCUCGUCCGGGCCGCCUCGUCGGCCGGGCGAAGCUAGAGCGCGCACGUUGAGACCCGAAAGAUGGUGAACUAUGGCUGGGCAGGACGAAGCC